GAGCACGUAGGUGGGUUUGUAAGUCAGAUGUGAAAGCCUUCUGUUCAACGGAAGAAUUGCAUCUGAAACUGCGAGUCUUGAGUGUAGGAGGGGAGAAUGGAACUUCUGGUGGAGCGGUGAAAUGCGUAGAUAUCAGAAGGAACGCCGGCGGCGAAAGCGAUUCUCUGGCCUAUUACUGACACUCAGUGUGCGAAAGCUAGGGGAGCAAACGGGAUUAGAUACCCCGGUAGCCCUAGCCGUAAGCGAUGGGCACUAAGUAGAGGGGUUUU
rnacentral:rRNA from 1 species